rnacentral:rRNA from 1 species
UGGGGGAUAUUGCACAAUGGGCGAAAGCCUGAUGCAGCGACGCCGCGUGGGGGAUGAAGGCUUUCGGGUUGUAAACCUCUUUCGCUAUCGAACAAGGCCCGCUUAGGGUGGGUUGAGGGUAGGUGGAGAAGCAGCGCCGGCUAACUACGUGCCAGCAGCCGCGGUAAUACGUAGGGCGCGAGCGUUGUCCGGAAUUAUUGGGCGUAAAGGGCUUGUAGGCGGCUUGUUGCGCCUGCUGUGAAAACGCGGGGCGUAACUUCGCGCGUGCAGUGGGUACGGGCAGGCUUGAGUGGGGUAGGGGUGACUGGAAUUCCAGGUGUAGCGGUGGAAUGCGCAGAUAUGUGGAGGAGCACCGAUGGCGAAGGCAGGUCACUGGGCCAGUACUGACGCUGAGGAGCGAAAGCAUGGGUAGCGAACAGG